AAAAUUCUGGCAAGGGAGACACCAUGAUCAUGAAGGUGGUUUUCCCAGGAUGAGGCUUACCCAUUCAUUGUACUCCAGCUGUGCUGACCCCUGCUGAUUUCCCCAAAUUUGGGAAACUGCAUAAUCUGUGGUAGCAGGGGACUACAUUCGCGCUCUCCCCUG